rnacentral:other from 1 species
UGUUCUCAGAUCGGUGUGUUAACCUGUAUAAUUAAACCUACGCUAAUUAUAAGGGACAGCGUUUGUUCGAACGUGGAUGACAAGCCCUCUACGAAGGGAAGUCAGAAAACAAUUGACAGCUAACCCACCUUCACAAACAGAAGGUCUUAAAUUAGAGGGUUAACUGCCGCUGAGAAUGA